rnacentral:rRNA from 1 species
AUGCCCAGCCACUGGCCACCAUUAAUGCUUGGUCAGGAGCCCGCCAGUGAGCUCCAGAAGCCUCCCCUCGGCCUAUAUAAGGACCCCCUAGGUGCCCCGCAUCCCCCAAGCCUCUCCUCGUCCAUCCUAGUCCACCGGAGCCGCGGCAUCUUGCUGUUUUCUCGUCGUUUGUCCUCGGGUGCUCGCCGAAGUCCGUCAAGUUUGAGCAGCCGAGCCUCUCUGGCUUCGCCACCACCCUAUCCUCACCCCGGUGCCCCUCCUCCACCUCUUCUUUUUCCCCCGGAGCCCCUCGAGGCCGUCUUCCCCAAGUCCAUCCGCCGCCCGUCCUCUCGGCCACCCCAUCAUCUCGGCCCUCUGGUGCUCCUCCCUCCAUUCCGUGUCCACCACCGUGUUCCUCUCCUGUCCACAAGCCUCCCCGACCCCUCAACCUCGCCAGAGUCACCCCGCCUCAUCGCCUUCGACCACCGCCCCACCGCCUCUGUCCUUCCCGUCGCCGCGGCCUCCCGUCCUUCUCGUGCCUCCCUAGCGUCCGCCGACCGUGGGAACGAGUGCGGAAGGCCCUCCCGCACCCACCGGUGGCCGCGCCCUGGCCGGGGGUGGCCGGAGUUGGCCGGCCCCCUCGCCGGUCCUCCCUGCUCGGGCCCCUCUGCUUCUGUCGUGAGCAGGCACGGAGGAGUAAGAAGACGACCACGCCAGCCCCCCUGCCGCGUGGGACGCCUCUAUAAGUGCCUAAGGCCACGGGUCCACGUGGAUAAGUGGACGUGUAAACCCGUUAAUACGUUUUCAGUUCAUAAAAGCGUAUUACCAGAGAGUACACUUUCAUUUGCCGAAAGCGCAUUUCUUUCCUCUUUUGUCCAAAGUAUGCUUUCCUCUCCGGUAAGCGUAUUUCAGUUCUACUCCGGCACAAACUACGCUUUCUCUUUCAGAAAACGUAAACGGCCCGAAGGCGCUUUCAGUCUUUUCUCCAGGGGCGUGUUUGCUGAAAAAUAUUCACAUAUAGGCCCCUAA